rnacentral:rRNA from 1 species
GAUGAACGCUGGCGGCGUGCCUAAUACAUGCAAGUCGAGCGCUGAAGGUUGGUACUUGUACCGAUUGGAUGAGCAGCGAACGGGUGAGUAACGCGUGGGUAACCUGCCUUUGAGCGGGGGAUAACAUUUGGAAACGAAUGCUAAUACCGCAUAAAAACUUUAAACACAAGUUUUAAGUUUGAAAGAUGCAAUUGCUUCACUCAAAGAUGAUCCCGCGUUGUAUUAGGUAGUUGGCGAGGGAAAGGCUCAUCAAGGCGAUGAUACAUAGCCGACCUGGGAGGGUGAUACGCCUCCAUGGGAAUGAGACACGGGCCAAACUCCUACGGGGGGCGGCGGUAGGGAGUAUUCGGGAAUAGAGGAGAGUCUGACCGAGCGACGCCGCGUGAGUGAAUAAAGGGUUCGGGUCGUGAAAAGCUGUUGAUAGAGAAGGACGUUGGUGGGAGUGAACAGCUCACCAAUUGACGGUAACUAACCAGAAAAGGACGGCUAACUACGUG